AAAGACUUAGUCCUAACCUUACCGUUGGUUCCUACUAAACCUACACAUGCAAGUAUCUGCAACCCGGUGCAAAUGCCCUUACCUCUUACUAAGACAAAAGGAGCCGGCAUCAGGCACGCUUCUCCGCAGCCCACAACGCCUUGCUCAGCCACACCCCCACGGGCCCUCAGCAGUGACUAAUAUUAAGCAAUAAGUGUAAACUUGACUUAGUUAAAGUAGACCAGGGUUGGUAAAUCUUGUGCCAGCCACCGCGGUCACACAAGAAACCCAAAUCAACCGUAUACGGCGUAAAGAGUGGCCCAAACACUAUCCCCACCAACUAGGGCUGAAUUGCAACCAGGCCGUCAUAAGCUCAUGAUGCACUCAAACCCCCUAUCAACAUAGCCCUAGCGCCAAGGAAUGACCAAACCCACGAAAGCCAGGGAACAAACUGGGAUUAGAUACCCCACUAUGCCUGGCCAUAAAUCCCGAUGCCCCCCCCUACCCGAGCAUCCGCCUGGGAACUACGAGCACAAACGCUUAAAACCCUAAGGACUUGGCGGUGUCCCAAAACCCCCUAGAGGAGCCUGUUCUAUAAUCGAUAACCCACGCUACACCCAACCCCUCCUUGCCCCAGCAGCCUACAUACCGCCGUCGCCAGCCCACCUCACAUGAGAGCGCAAUAGUGAGCACAAUAAUUCUCCCCAUUAAUAAGACAGGUCAAGGUAUAGCCAAUGGAGGGGAAGAAAUGGGCUACAUUUUCUAACCUAGACCAUACACGAAAGGGGGCCUGAAAUAGGCCCCCGGAAGGAGGAUUUAGCAGUAAAACGCGACAACCAAGCCCGUUUUAAGCUGGCCCUGGGACA
rnacentral:ncRNA from 1 species